UCGAGAAGGGCCUUCUGGAACAGAGCAAAGCACUGAGAAUGGAGUGGCCAGCAUGUAGAAUGUUGAGAGAGGGAAAAGAGGAAAAGAUGGGGCAGCAGCUGUAGGCCAGGACCAAUCUGCAAAGGCCUUUGUGCCACGUGAAGGGACUUGAAAGAAACCUGAGUAAGAAUGAGUUGGGCGUGUUUCCUGAGCCCUUUCUCACUCCGCUGCAUUUAAUGCAAAUAUGCAAGACAUGCUGUAUAUUCAAAGCCACAGCAUAAUGAGCUGUUUUCGAGAAGAGUUCCCUGCUCUGUCACAGCAGCCUUGCUAAUAAGCCAGUCUGAGUGUAGAGUUGCUCUUCCAGUAAGCUGUGCUUUCCAGUGGACAGCCCCUGAGUCCUGGUGACCUUGCAGUGGGCAACAUCUUUCUUGCUCUCUCCCCCACUCCCGCCCUCCUCUCCCUCUGUGUGGAGACCGUGCAGAAGGGCCGAGCAUCUUUUGUGGAUUCUGCACAUAAAUGGAUAGGAUUGGUCCCCAAGGAUGUCAGCUUGGCAACCUUUAGAGUGUGAAAUCCAUUUAAAAAGGGAUCAGGAAAAGAAAUUCAGAAAGAAUGGGAGAAGACUGUUUAGAUGGGGUGGUUUAUACAGUUAGUGGGUUUAAUUUUUAUUUCCUGGAAAGGGUUUGAGAGAAAGACAUGUGAGGUAAAUUCUCCUGUGAAGUGCUUAUAGAAUUGCUACUCCAUCAGCAAGGAAACCGCAGACCAGGGCAUAAGUACUGUGAAUUUAAAGCAACCUUGGAUUAAAUUCCUCAGCUCCAGAGAGAAGGAUGGCUUGCCCAAUCACUGAAGCAAAGUUAAAAGACACAUUAAGGUCCAAGCAAGAGAAAAUAUAUAAUUAGCAUACAGCAAAAUAGAUCUUCUGUGUUCAAUUCAAUGAGUUUUGACAAUUGUAUACGGACAUGUAACCAGCGCU